rnacentral:rRNA from 1 species
UAGGGAAUCUUCCGCAAUGGGCGAAAGCCUGACGGAGCAACGCCGCGUGAGUGAUGAAGGUCUUCGGAUUGUAAAACUCUGUUAUUAGGGAAGAACAUAUGUGUACGUAACUAUGCACGUCUUGAUGGUACCUAAUCAGCAACCCACGGCUUACUACGUGCCAGCAGCCGCGGUAAUACGUAGGUGGCAAGCGUGAUCCGGAAUUAUUGGGCGUAAAGCGCGCGUAGGCGGUUUUUUAAGUCUGAGGUGAAAGCCCAGGGCUCAACCGUGGAGGUUCAUUGGAAACUGGAAGACUUGAGUGCAGAAGAGGAGAGUGGAAUUCCGUGUGUAGAGGUGAAAUGCGCAGAGAUAUGGAGGAACACCAGUGGCGAAGGCGACUUUCUGGUCUGUAACUGACGCUGAGGUGCGAAAGCGUGGGGAUCAAACAGG